rnacentral:rRNA from 1 species
ACUANUAUGAACGGCUAAAUGAGGAUCACACUGUCUCUUGUAACUGACCAAUGAAACUGAUCUUGUAGUUCAAAAGCUACAAUAAAAACACCAGACGAGAAGACCCUGUGGAGCUUCAAACCAAAACCAAACUAAUGGCCCAUUGGUUUUUAGUUGGGGCAACUUCGGAGAAUAAACUAACCUCCGAAAAUAUAAGCUAAGACAAACAAGUCAAAACAACUUCCUUGACCCAAUAGACAACUUAAACUAUUUGACCAAUGAACCAAGUUACCCCAGGGAUAACAGCGCUAUCCCCUUUUAGAGUCCCUAUCGACAAGGGGGCUUACGACCUCGAUGUUGGAUCAGGACACCCCAAUAAUGCAGCCGUUAUUAAAG